rnacentral:snRNA from 1 species
UAUUUUCGGGGAAACAUGGUAUACUAAAAUUGGGAUUAUAUACAGAAAGUGACUAUGCUCUCUGCUCAAGGAUGACAUGCAAAUAUGUGGAGCAUUCUGUAUUUUC